rnacentral:rRNA from 1 species
GUGAGGAAUAUUGGUCAAUGGGCGGCAGCCUGAACCAGCCAUCCCGCGUGAAGGAAGAAAGCGCUAUGCGUUGUAAACUUCUUUUCCAGGGGGAUAAAAUCUCGGACGUGUUCGGGACUGAAGGUACCCUGGGAAUAAGCAUCGGCUAACUCCGUGCCAGCAGCCGCGGUAAUACGGAGGAUGCGAGCGUUAUCCGGAUUUAUUGGGUUUAAAGGGUGCGUAGGCGGGGCGAUAAGUCAGUGGUGAAAACCUGCAGCUUAACUGUAGACUUGCCGUUGAUACUGUUGUUCUUGAGUAUGGUCAAGGCAGGCGGAAUGUGUAAUGUAGCGGUGAAAUGCUUAGAUAUUACACAGAACACCGAUAGCGAAGGCAGCUUGCUGGGCCGUUACUGACGCUGAAGCACGAAAGCGUGGGGAUCGAACAGGAUUAGAUACCCCUGUAGUCC